rnacentral:rRNA from 1 species
AUUGAACGCUGGCGGCAUGCCUCACACAUGCAAGUCGAACGGCAGCGCGGGUGCUUGCACCUGGCGGCGAGUGGCGAACGGGUGAGUAAUACAUCGGAACGUGCCCUAGAGUGGGGGAUAACUAGUCGAAAGAUUAGCUAAUACCGCAUACGAUCUACGGAUGAAAGUGGGGGACCGUAAGGCCUCAUGCUCCUGGAGCGGCCGAUGUCUGAUUAGCUAGUUGGUGGGGUAAUAGCCUACCAAGGCGACGAUCAGUAGCUGGUCUGAGAGGACGACCAGCCACACUGGGACUGAGACACGGCCCAGACUCCUACGGGAGGCAGCAGUGGGGAAUUUUGGACAAUGGGGGCAACCCUGAUCCAGCAAUGCCGCGUGUGUGAAGAAGGCCUUCGGGUUGUAAAGCACUUUUGUCAGGAACGAAACGGUGGGGGCUAAUACCUCCUGCUAAUGACGGUACCUGAAGAAUAAGCACCGGCUAACUACGUGCCAGCCGCCGCGGUAA